rnacentral:rRNA from 1 species
AGGGAGGGGUGGUGGCGUCGGGCGGGGAGGUGGCUCGGACCGGUACCGCGGCGGGGGAAGGGCGCCGGGAGGGGCGGUAUCGCGGUAGCUGUUAAGUCUAAGUCCUAGCUGAAGGAAGAGUUAUCACUUUAACGAAGACAACAAGUUCACUCUCUUUGUACGUCCCUCAACAAACUUUUGUUGUAGCAGCGGCAGCCCUCCAAAUGACGUCCCUCAAACCCCACUGGAUGGUGACGUACCUGAUAUGGUGGUCCCUCCGGGAGUGAGACGCUCCCACCCCUCGAGAAGCUGGCCUAACAACACUCCCCCGUGAUGUGCCUUGCGCGGUGGUAACACCAGUGGUUUUGGUAGUAGUCCCAGCACACUUGCCAAGUGACUCUAACAACCUUCCGGAAUAAUGUACCGAGCUCUUUGACACCGGUUCUCUUUGACUUGUUCCACAACGAGUUCGUUAAUAGGCCAGAGAGUAACUAAAAUUUUCUCUAGGUACCGGUUCCCAUAGUCUAUUACAUUUUCUGGAACAGUCCCGGGUCUAGGUUCCUCCGCAAACUGUCGAGUUGUCCAAGGACUAAAAGAAUUCUAGUGCAUUCGAACCCAACUACCUCACGAACAUAAAUCAAAAACAAAACUGGAACACUUUGAACGAUGGAUACCUACUUUGACACAUUAUAACUACUUUGAUACAUAUACAUGCCUACUUUGAACGAUGAUAACCAUUGUACACAACCUAUACGAUAUAACCAGUAUAUUUAUAUAAACACAAACUAAAAGG